rnacentral:rRNA from 1 species
GACGAACGCUGGCGGCGUGCCUAAUACAUGCAAGUAGAACGCUGAAGGAGGAGCUUGCUUCUCCGGAUGAGUUGCGAACGGGUGAGUAACGCGUAGGUAACCUGCCUGGUAGCGGGGGAUAACUAUUGGAAACGAUAGCUAAUACCGCAUAACAGUAGAUAUUGCAUGAUAUCUGCUUGAAAGGUGCAAUUGCAUCACUACCAGAUGGACCUGCGUUGUAUUAGCUAGUUGGUGAGGUAACGGCUCACCAAGGCGACGAUACAUAGCCGACCUGAGAGGGGGAACGGCCACACUGGGACUGAGGCACGGCCCAGACUCCUACGGGAGGCAGCAGUAGGGAAUCUUCGGCAAUGGACGGAAGUCUGACCGAGCAACGCCGCGUGAGUGAAGAAGGUUUUCGGAUCGUAAAGCUCUGUUGUAAGAGAAGAACGAGUGUGAGAGUGGAAAGUUCACACUGUGACGGUAUCUUACCAGAAGGGGACGGCUAACUACGUG